GCGGACAUAGCUCAGUUGGUAGAGCGCAACCUUGCCAAGGUUGAGGUCGCGGGUUCGAGCCCCGUUGUCCGCUC
rnacentral:tRNA from 1 species